GAAAACAAGGAGAUGAGACCACGAUAGAGGAGAAUUUCUUGGGGAAGACUCGCAGUUGAGGUCAGAUAGAAAGGAGGCAUUGAUGAGUUCUAGGUAGAAGAGGCUGGAUUUUGGCUCUCUGAGAAGUAGCUGCUCAGGAGGAGCAGGCUUGUGAAGCUGAUUCCCUGUGGUUGAUGAAGUCUCAGUAAAGCUGCUGGUGCCAUAAAAGAUUAUCUUUGGUUACUUACCCAAGUGAGGAAGCCUCUUCUGCUAGCUGCAUUCUUUUGUAUAUAUCCAGCCACCCCAGCUCUACUACUCUGACUUCCCAUGGGCACCCCAGGAGAAAGCAGAGAAAUUGCUGUGUGCGUGAUCUGAGAAGCCCCGUUCACCUGGCCCUUCAGCCUGUGCCCUCUUCAGCCCCAGCCCCUGACCACGUGGUGGAAAGGGAGCCUGCCUUGCCUUCUCAGGGCUCCAGAGAUCCUCUGUUUCCAUGCAGACAGAUUGAGAGCUGGAGCAGCCCUGCGGGGACAGGCAUGGAGCCGGAGGGGCUGUUUCCAGCCCCUCAAAAUAA
ensembl:lncRNA